rnacentral:rRNA from 1 species
GCAGUAGCCGCGGUAAUGCAGAGGAUGCAAGCGUUAUCCGGAAUGAUUGGGCGUAAAGCGUCUGUAGGUGGCUUUUCAAGUCCGCCGUCAAAUCCCAGGGCUCAACCCUGGACAGGCGGUGGAAACUACCAAGCUGGAGUACGGUAGGGGCAGAGGGAAUUUCCAGUGGAGCGGUGAAAUGCGUUGAGAUCGAAAAGAACACCAACGACGAAAGCACUCUGCUGGGUCGACACUGACACUGAGAGACGAAAGCUAGGGGAGCAAAUGGGAUUAGAUACCCCAGUAGUCCCUGUCUCUUAUAC